UACAGAGGGGGCAAGCGUUAUUCGGAAUUACUGGGCUUAAAGGGUGCGUAGGCGGCGCGGAAAGUAGGGUGUGAAAUCCCUCGGCUCAACCGAGGAACUGCGCUCUAAACUACCGUGCUCGAGGGAGAUAGAGGUGAGCGGAACUGAGGGUGGAGCGGUGAAAUGCGUUGAUAUCCUCAGGAACACCGGUGGCGAAAGCGGCUCACUGGAUCUCUUCUGACGCUGAGGCACGAAAGCUAGGGUAGCGAACGGG
rnacentral:rRNA from 1 species